rnacentral:lncRNA from 10 species
CAGCGAGUGUGGUGAUGUGUGCGGGACAUGGUGGAGGGCAGGGGAGGAGCCAGGAACAGCACCCAGGGAGGGUGAGCCAGCUGCAACCACCGCACUGCAACAGGGAGGCAACGGGCAUCCUCUGAAGCUGGCAGCAGAGGGCCGCCAGGCCCCUUGGCCCGUUCUGGAGGGCGGCUUGGCAGCAGUGUGGAAGAGGGAUGGAGGAGGAUGUGUCCAAGUCAGCGAGCAGCAGGAGGGCUGCAGCAUUCGGUUCCAAGGACGCUUCUAUCUUUAGACUGCUGUAUUAUGAGAGAGGAUGGGAGAAAUGAGAGCAUCAAGAAACAAAAGACUCAUGGAAUCAUAGGACAUUCAUCUUGGAUGAGACCAGAGAGGCCAACCCAUGUGUGUAUUUCCCCACCCCAUCCAACCCCCAGCAACUCACUCUCCUCUGGACACACCCAGUGACUUGGGAGCAGUCAGCUAUGCCCUAUGGGAAGCACAGGAGCUGCCUGCCUGCUUGCAACGACCAGCCAUUUGAUUUGCCUGCUCUGUACCCUGGCUGCAUCUCAAGGGCUCUUCAAGGGACAAAGAAGUUACAGUCAGAUUGGUUUCUGUGGACGGAAGCCUGGCAGCUCAGCACCUGUCAUGGGCCACCCCGAACACAGCAAGUGGAAAUGCGUCCUCUGGACCCCCACCUGCCUGGGACACUCACCUCAUCCUGACAGGCCCAGCCCUUCUCUGCCAUCCCGUGCUGCGAGGCACCACCAACUGCCAAGGUGUGGGCUGAAGGGCAGCGGCCCAGGCCAAUGGAGACUUGGGGAAGGUAAGGAAAGGAGAACCAAGAAUUAAGUGGGAUGGAGGGAGCAGAAAAGAGAAGAAGUGUCCCAGCAAGGAGGAACUUCCUGGGAAGAUGAAAUAAGAGGCAGAUUCUCCUCGGUGAGUGGUUGCAUAAGUCUAGGGCAGCUCCAUAGUAAGAUUCCAGGGGCAAUAGGGGUGGAUGGAACAUCAACGCAACCUCAAUGGCGGACCGCGGGGUGACAGCGAGGGGUGCCUCCUGCACACCGACAGGGUCUGGUAUUUACUUUAGCACAGGCCUCAGGAAUACAGUUCUGCCUCAUAAAAGACUAGGGAAUGCUGACAAAAGAAAGUUCUGUGCUUUCCUGACAACUGCAUGCACUGUCAGGAAACAGUGGGUCCUACUUAGAGUUGAGUUGGAAAAUGGAUUUGGGGGCUGAAGAAUCAAAUGAUGCUGUGAAGCACUCUCUUUGUGGCGUCUUCAUAACACUUCAUGCUUGUGGAGCUGGCAGUCACUGGAUUCAGCUUCCUCCCAAUGCAGGGAUUCCUUACACACAACUGCUGAGCAGCAUGCAGGGACCUAAGGCCACUCCGUGGUGCAGCCGGCUAAGAAAUGACAGGGCCACCAGGCCGGCUGCACUCCUGUACCUUCCUCUCUUAUUCAGUGCAGGAAGCCCAGUGUUCCUGUAGCAGGCAGCCCCAUGGUCUAGCUCAGUCUAGCUCCACAUCCUGUCCUCAAUGUGACAAAGAUCCUGUGCUUGGCCAGUCUUUAGUCAGGCCCUGAUCCUUCUCCUAGGCCCAUUAGCAAGAACCCCAGCUAAGUCAGUCUGGCAAGAAUUCCCCACAGAAACAUGCUGACAUGCUGACCUGCCUUCAGCAGGAAACCCUUUAGGCUGGUUUGGCCAGAACUGCCCGCAGACUUGGCGUCUCCUCUGAGUAACUUUACACCCACUGACCCUCUGCUCCUUGGCCAUCAGUGCCCACUCGUCCCCGUUGUACUUGUAACGGAGCCCAACCCAGCUCUUCACUGGAGUCUUUUUUGCAAUAGUCCUGAAUAAAAUGUGCCAUCACUGAUUUGAUUUCUGCUGGCUCUGCUUUUCUUUGAUAAGGCGCCACCUUGCUCAUGGCACACAUCUCCUCAGGCUCCACCCGGGAGGGGAGAGUGGCACACCUUUCCCUCUCUCAGGAGAUCAGUUUCUUCCUGACAGUUCUUUGCUGACAUUCCCAUGGCUGAGCUCCAGCUCUUCUGCUGUCACUCUGACAUCCCCAAC